AGGUUACGUCAAGACUCACGGCUAUUAACCGUAGGCUUUUCUUCUCUACUGAAAGUGCUUUACAACCCGCAGGCCUUCUUCACACACGCGGCAUUGCUGGAUCAGGCUUGCGCCCAUUGUCCAAUAUUCCCCA
rnacentral:rRNA from 1 species